rnacentral:rRNA from 1 species
AGAGUUUGUAUUCUGGCUCAGGAUGAACGCUGGCGGCGUGCCUAACACAUGCAAGUCGAACGAAGCAGGGGGGCGGAAUCUCUCCGGAGGGGAAGCCCCCCUGACUGAGUGGCGGACGGGUGAGUAACGCGUGGACAACCUACCCCGCACUGGGGGACAACAGCCGGAAACGGCUGCUAAUACCGCAUAUGCGCACGGCCCCGCAUGGGGCCGCGCGGAAAGCGCAUGCGGUGCGGGAUGGGUCCGCGUCUGAUUAGCUUGUUGGCGGGGUAACGGCCCACCAAGGCGACGAUCAGUAGCCGGCCUGAGAGGGUGGACGGCCACAUUGGGACUGAGACACGGCCCAGACUCCUACGGGAGGCAGCAGUGGGGGAUAUUGCACAAUGGGGGCAACCCUGAUGCAGCGACGCCGCGUGAGCGAUGGAGUACUUCGGUAUGUAAAGCUCUGUCAGCAGGGAAGAGAAUGACGGUACCUGACCAAGAAGCCCCGGCUAAAUACGUGCCAGCAGCCGCGGUAAUACGUAUGGGGCAAGCGUUAUCCGGAUUUACUGGGUG